rnacentral:rRNA from 1 species
GACGUAGGGCGCGAGCGUUGUCCGGAAUUAUUGGGCGUAAAGGGCGCGUAGGCGGCUGUACAAGUCAAAGGUGAAAUCCCUCGGCUCAACUGAGGAACUGCCUUUGAAACUGUACGGCUUGAGGCCGGGAGGGGGUAGCGGAAUUCCCAGUGUAGCGGUGAAAUGCGUAGAUACUGGGAGGAACACCAGUGGCGAAGGCGGCUACCUGGACCGGUUCUGACGCUGAGGCGCGAAAGCGUGGGUAGCAAACAGG